rnacentral:rRNA from 1 species
GAUGAACGCUGGCGGCAUGCCUAACACAUGCAAGUCGAUCGGUAAGGCUCUUCGGAGUCCCCGAGAGGCGGACGGCUGAGUAACGCGUAGGAACACACCCUGCAGUGAGGGAUAAGACACCGAAAGGUGUUCUAAUACCGCAUACGGUCUUCGGAUUAAAGCAUUUAUGCGCUGAAGGAGUGGCCUGCGUCAUAUUAGAUAGUUGGUGAGGUAAUGGCUCACCAAGUCGAUGAUGUGUAGCUGGUCUGAGAGGAUGAUCAGCCAGACUGGAACUGAGACACGGUCCAGACUCCUACGGGAGGCAGCAGUGAGGAAUAUUUCACAAUGAGCGAAAGCUUGAUGGAGCAAUGCCGCGUGCAGGAUGAAGGCCCUCGGGUUGUAAACUGCUUUUAUAAGAGAAGAUUAUGACGGUAACUUAUGAAUAAGGGACGGCUAACUACGUG